rnacentral:rRNA from 1 species
CACGUAGGCGGACUCUUAAGUCGGCGGUGAAAUCCUGGAGCUCAACUCCAGAACUGCCUUCGAUACUGGGAGUCUCGAGUUCGGGAGAGGUGAGUGGAACUGCGAGUGUAGAGGUGAAAUUCGUAGAUAUUCGCAAGAACACCAGUGGCGAAGGCGGCUCACUGGCCCGAUACUGACGCUGAGGUGCGAAAGCGUGGGAGCAAACA